rnacentral:misc_RNA from 1 species
ACGAGUUGGGGUGGAAACACCCGACCUCCAACCCUAUGUUGUCCGACUCUGUUGCCUCGGGGGCGACCCUGACGGGGCCCCCGGUGGACCAUCAAACUCCGACCUUAUGGCCGUCCGAUUUAUCAUUCUUAAUAUGAAUCA